CCCUUAGAUGUUCUGGGCCGCACGCGCGCUACACUGAUGCAUUCAACGAGUUUCUUCCUGGUCCGAGAGGAAUGGGUAACCUUUUGAAAGUGCAUCGUGAUAGGGAUAGACUAUUGCAAUUAUUGGUCUUCAACGAGGAAUUCCUAGUAGACGUAGUUCAUCAGACUUCAUCGAUUACGUCCCUGCCCUUUGUACACACCGCCCGUCGCUCCUACCGAUUGAAUGCUCAGGUGAGCCAUUCGGACUUUCAUCAUGCUGGUUUCCAGUUUUGAUGAAGGAAAGUCUUGCGAACCUUAUCAUUUAGAGGAAGGAGAAGUCGUAACA
rnacentral:rRNA from 1 species